rnacentral:lncRNA from 1 species
UGGAAUAGUGUUUUCCCGACGUAACAGAGUCAUUGCCACAGAACCUCACAGCAGAUGUGACUGUGUGUAUACCACAAGAUCAAGCCAGCCAAAAUUCCAGCAGUAAUGAGGCACUCGAGGAUUAUUUGAUGAACAUCUACCGAACAACGUGGCUUCAAGAAUAAAGUCAUAACAAGGCUGUUAACAUUUGUGAAAUGAAUCCAUUUGGCAGGUCAAUGAAUUCAUUAUAAUCCACUACAUGAAUGUAUGUGGACUGCAUGAAUUUAUGUGCACUGUAUGUGUGCAGGUGCCCACAGAAGACAGAAGCAGGCAUCAGAUUUCCUGGAAUGCGGUUAGUAGCAGUUUUUAGCUGCCUGAUGUGGGUGCUGGGAGGCAAACACAGGUCUUUGGCAAG